UACAGAGGUGGCUAGCGUUGUUCGGAAUUACUGGGCGUAAAGCGCACGUAGGCGGACUCUUAAGUCAGGGGUGAAAUCCCGGGGCUCAACCUCGGAACUGCCUUUGAUACUGUGAGUCUCGAGACCGGAAGAGGUGAGUGGAAUUCCUAGUGUAGAGGUGAAAUUCGUAGAUAUUAGGAAGAACACCAGUGGCGAAGGCGGCUCACUGGUCCGGUUCUGACGCUGAGGUGCGAAAGCGUGGGGAGCAAACAGG
rnacentral:rRNA from 1 species